rnacentral:rRNA from 1 species
AGUGAACGCUGGCGGUAGGCCUAACACAUGCAAGUCGAACGGCAGCACAGUAAGAGCUUGCUCUUACGGGUGGCGAGUGGCGGACGGGUGAGGAAUACAUCGGAAUCUACUUUUUCGUGGGGGAUAACGUAGGGAAACUUACGCUAAUACCGCAUACGACCUACGGGUGAAAGCAGGGGAUCUUCGGACCUUGCGCGAUUGAAUGAGCCGAUGUCGGAUUAGCUAGUUGGCGGGGUAAAGGCCCACCAAGGCGACGAUCCGUAGCUGGUCUGAGAGGAUGAUCAGCCACACUGGAGCUGGAACACGGUCCAGACUCCUACGGGAGGCAGCAGUGGGGAAUAUUGGACAAUGGGCGCAAGCCUGAUCCAGCCAUACCGCGUGGGUGAAGAAGGCCUUCGGGUUGUAAAGCCCUUUUGUUGGGAAAGAAAAGCAGCAGGUUAAUACCCCGCUGUUCUGACGGUACCCAAAGAAUAAGCACCGGCUAACUUCGUG